GAUGAAGAACGUAGCGAAAUGCGAUAAGUAGUGUGAAUUGCAGAAUUCAGUGAAUCAUCGAAUCUUUGAACGCACAUUGCGCCCCUUGGUAUUCCGAGGGGCAUGCCUGUUCGAGCGUCAUAUUAACCACUCCCGCUUGCGGGGUCUUGGGCUUCGCCUCCGGGCGGGCCUUAAAAUCAGUGGCGGUGCCGUCGGGCUCUACGCGUAGUAAAUUUUCUCGCGAUAGGGUCCCGGUGGAUGCUUGCCAACAACCCCCAACUUCUUAAGGUUGACCUCGGAUCAGGUAGGGAUACCCGCUGAACUUAAGCAUUCAAUAAGCGGAGGA
rnacentral:misc_RNA from 1 species